GCACCUAUAGCUCAGCUGGAUAGAGUUGUGGACUUCGAAUCCAAAGGUCGUGAGUUCGAAUCUCGCUAGGUGCACCA
rnacentral:tRNA from 2 species